AUUGAACGCUGGCGGCAGGCCUAACACAUGCAAGUCGAGCGGAUGAAGGGAGCUUGCUCCUGGAUUCAGCGGCGGACGGGCGAGUAAUGCCUAGGAAUCUGCCUGGUAGUGGGGGAUAACGUCCGGAAACGGGCGCUAAUACCGCAUACGUCCUGAGGGAGAAAGUGGGGGAUCUUCGGACCUCACGCUAUCAGAUGAGCCUAGGUCGGAUUAGCUAGUUGGUGGGGUAAAGGCCUACCAAGGCGACGAUCCGUAACUGGUCUGAGAGGAUGAUCAGUCACACUGGAACUGAGACACGGUCCAGACUCCUACGGGAGGCAGCAGUGGGGAAUAUUGGACAAUGGGCGAAAGCCUGAUCCAGCCAUGCCGCGUGUGUGAAGAAGGUCUUCGGAUUGUAAAGCACUUUAAUUUGGGAGGAAGGGCAGUAAGUUAAUACCUUGCUGUUUUGACGUUACCAACAGAAUAAGCACCGGCUAACUUCGUG
rnacentral:rRNA from 1 species